GUGAGGUUAACUGAAGUUCGGGAGCAGGGCCACGCCUCAAACAAUCACCUGACUUCCAAUCCUCCAUAUAUACCGGGCCACGUCACACCACUCUGCUAGUCUCGUUCUCGAGAAGGACAGGUGUACUUGCCUGGUCUGAACGGCACGCUGUUUGAUUCAUCGUCACUGACGACACUCGACGAUCACCUCUCAUCAUUCUGAUCACAGUCUCUUUCAGAGCGUUCGCGUUCGAUCAUCCACAUUCUGGGCCUCGAGCGCCCACUCACACACUCAUCUCAGGCGGAUCCUGAGCCCAACCUCCUUGCUCUCCGCCAGUGAGAUCCGCAGGCCGAAUUCGCCAUCUUCAUUAGCGCGGUGAACGCCGAAACUGAAUUCCCGCUCCCGUCGCGGCCGCUCGCUCACGCUUCUCCAGCGCUCUCAUUGCACGUCUUCUAGAAUCCAGAGCCGAGGACAACUGAACCACGGGUCGCCUUCAACACGCCCUUAAAUCCAAGCCCCCCAGCACUUCCGGCAACUCUACUCUCCGUCACACGUGACGUCACGUGAAUUCUCCUCCACAGCAUCAAACCACAGCGCCCCCUAGCGGCAGGCAAGACCUAUCACCACCGCCACCACCACAGCGGUACUUCAGGUGGAUGACCUCACAACUGACAACAGCACCACCUCUACAGUGCCCAGCGGUCGAGCCUGCAGUUAACUACAGCACCACCAGAAGCGCCUCAGGUGAAGUGAUCAUUUAGCUACAACAGCACCGCCAUCAGCGCCUCAGGCGAAACGAUCAUACAGCUACAUCAGCACCGCCAUCAGCGCCUCAGGUGG